AGUAGUAGGGAGAAAAACAGUAGAUAUAAGAAACAGAAGUAGUUAAAUGUAAUUUGUGAGCUCUAUGUGCUGCUAGAGAAAGUCAGAAUGUCCCAUCACAAACUUCCAUAGAGGUGUCUCAUGGGAUGUGUAAAGCAGCAAUUCACAGACACUGUGACUGACCUUUCUCUCUUCCCUUUUCCCUCCUGACCCCUUUUCCCCUCCUUUCACCUCCCCUCUCCCCAUUUUCCCCCUUUUAAAGCCACGCUGCCUUUUGAGCAUCCUCUCCGAGCCAUUCUGGCUGAACACAGUUCAGAAACAUCCAGCUCGACAAAGUCGAGGCCGUGUCCGACAUCUCUGCUGCGAGCCGGGAGCCAUGGACGGAGCAGCCAUUUAGGCUAUAAAUAAAGCAUUUUAUUUCCUGCAUGCUAAGUAAUUUCGUGCAGCUUCAGGUUUAAUCUGACUUUUGAAGGUACGCCCGAUCAAGGAGAUCGAUAUAGCUCCCUAUCGCUGGGAGCAAUAAGUGACAUGGCGGGGGAGGAACGUAAUAAAUAGCCCUGUGAGCAUACCUUUGAAGCAACGCGACUGCUUUCCAGUGGAAGUUUAAUUUCUUCAUGUUUUUAGUUAAAAGCUUUUAUUAAUUUUAACUGAAGUAAAUAUGCUAUACUUCGCUUUUCAAAUAAAUCCUUUUACAGCUCGGAGUCCUUGGAGUUUGAAUCCUCUCCAGCCACGUUCUGCUAUCUGCCAAUUCCUUGCUAAGUGCAAACCUGACACUGCUGCCAAUAAAUCCACCUUCAUGCCAUUUAAAGUCAUCUGCUGUAUUUCUGCGCAGCUAAUCAAAGUUUGUGAGAAGCCAUUUUUUAAAGGGGACAGAAUUCUGGCCAUUUCCAUUAAGUAAGUUUGCUGCUAUUCGCUUUAAUUAUAAAAGGCAGAAGUGGUACAGAUUGAAAGCUUCCUUACUUUUAUUCUUUUUUUGUGAAUUGUUGGAGGGGGAGUUCGCAGGAGGAAAUGGGUUUUGUUCAUGCAGCGGUGCUCUCCUCGCCCACUUUUUAAGACUCUCCUGAAUGCAGCAAGCCAGUGCCCGUGCUCUGUACGUUGAUUGCAUCCUGUUAAACGCAGAGCACUGCUUUAUUUUUACCUGGUGAGACAGUUCAUCUGAUAAAUGGAUGGGACGCUGGCACUCCAGGAGAAAAAGACGAUGUCUGCAUGGGUUCAUAGUCUCAAGUCUUUCAGAAGCAGAAUUUCCAAUCCCCCUACGCAGGCACCACCACGCACAAAACUAUAAAAGGAUUAGGUCUGUGGAACAUUUUUUUUUAACUUGUUAGUGCCAUACUGUACACAAUGUACUCCUGUUAUUUUUCUUUUAUUAAAGUGCAAUAACACUAUGA